AGAAAUAAAAAUAUAUAGAUGAACUCCACAUUGUCCUACUUCUCAGCUGUCUUGACUCCCUAACAAGAUAGCAGAGGAGUAGGAGGACAUGGAGUUCGUCUCUCCCUUCAAUGCAUCAA
rnacentral:precursor_RNA from 8 species